UUAUGUAGUUUUUUUAUAUUUUAAAUAAUAAUAACAUGUGGAUGUUUUGACGUAACUAACGUGCGCCAGCCAUGGGAGGAGAUCGAAGAACGCAACCCUGACGAAAAGUUCAAUGGCAAGCUUGUCGGUGAAAAGUGAUCAUCCAAUUCUUAUUCGGAAACGUCAAUCAAUUGAGGUCCUCUUCCAACAAAGCCUCAUGGAGCAAUAGCGAUUAUUGACCAAUAAAGUAUCACGAGAAUUAUGACCCAAACUAAUUUAUCUACACCAGUGAUACCUCCUACUCUGGUGGAAGCUACAGUCUAAGAAUGGACAUAACAUAUCUCUGGAGCAAGUUCAAAAAUAUCAUGAGGAAACGAGAUGGAUCAAGUUGAUGACCAGCUAAAUAGGGGCACACAGAUGAGGGGAUCUGAGAAAAGGCAUGUUGUGAAGAUGUUAAUAAUUAACUUAUAGUUGGUAUUAUUACUCUUGAUCUCGACCAACAAAUGGCUCAAAGUAACAAUAUCGUUUUGUAUUCUCGGUCAUCUGAUCGAUAAAUACAUGCUCAACAUGAGGAGAUUGUCCGUGCUAUGUAGGAGGUUUAUAUUAGAGAAUACACCACAAAUUUUAUCUUUUAUUGAACUAAAGUUCGAUCAAUAAGUAUUGUGUUUUUUUAGAAUAGAUUUAUGAUAGUGUAUUAUACUUUCUUGUGAAUUACAAUUCACUUAUAGUUGGUAUUAUUACUCUUGAUCUUCACCAACUAAUGGAUCAAAAUAACAAUGAUGUUUCGUCCUUUCGAAAUACUUGCUCAAUGUGAGGAGAUUAUCCAUGCUAUGUAGGAGGAUUCUGUUGAAGAGGACUAAACUACAACUCAUGUUCAUUUUUACUUUUAGUUGAACAAAAGUUUGAUUAAUAAAUGUUGCAAUUUUUUUAGAAUAGCUUUGUGUUAGUGUAUCAUAUCUUCUUUAUGAACUUUUGCUUAUUUUGUAAGAUUGUAAAAGAAUGAUUAUACUAUCUCAUAUGAUGUAAUACCCCAUACUUUUUCUAGCUCAGUUUAGCGCCUAGUGUGUCAAGGGUUAGCUUUGAAAGUG